rnacentral:tRNA from 1 species
AUGAAUGGGCGGGCCUUGAUCCCACAAAAAUU